rnacentral:rRNA from 1 species
GAUGAACGCUGGCGGCGUGCUUAACACAUGCAAGUCGAACGAGAAGUGGAGACGGACACCUUCGGGCGGAAGACUUUACUUCGAGUGGCGGACGGGUGAGUAACGCGUGGGUAACCUGCCUCAUACAGGGGGAUAACAGUUGGAAACGACUGUUAAUACCGCAUAAGACCACAGCACCGCAUGGUGCGGGGGUAAAAACUCCGGUGGUAUGAGAUGGACCCGCGUUCGAUUAGCCAGUUGGCGGGGUAACGGCCCACCAAAGCGACGAUCGAUAGCCGAUCUGAGAGGAUGACCGGACACAUUGGGACUGAGACACGGCCCAAACUCCUACGGGAGGCAGCAGUGGGGAAUAUUGCACAAUGGGGGAAACCCUGAUGCAGCGACGCCGCGUGAGUGAAGAAGUAUUUCGGUAUGUAAAGCUCUAUCAGCAGGGAAGAAAAUGACAGUACCUGAGUAAGAAGCCCCGGCUAACUACGUG